rnacentral:rRNA from 1 species
UACGAAGGGGGGCUAGCGUUGCUCGGAAUCACUGGGCGUAAAGGGUGCGUAGGCGGGUCUUUAAGUCGGGGGUGAAAUCCCGAGGCUCAACCUCGGAACUGCCUUCGAUACUGGCGAUCUUCGAGUCCGGGAGAGGUGAGUGGAACUCCGAGUGUAGAGGUGAAAUUCGUAGAUAUUCGGAAGAACACCAGUGGCGAAGGCGGCUCACUGGCCCGGUACUGACGCUGAAAUACGAAAGCGUGGGGAGCAAACAGG